AGCGAACGCUGGCGGCAGGCCUAACACAUGCAAGUCGAACGAACUCUUCGGAGUUAGUGGCGGACGGGUGAGUAACACGUGGGAACGUGCCUUUAGGUUCGGAAUAACUCAGGGAAACUUGUGCUAAUACCGAAUGUGCCCUUCGGGGGAAAGAUUUAUCGCCUUUAGAGCGGCCGCGUCUGAUUAGCUAGUUGGUGAGGUAAAGGCUCACCAAGGCGACGAUCAGUAGCUGGUCUGAGAGGAUGAUCAGCCACAUUGGGACUGAGACACGGCCCAAACUCCUACGGGAGGCAGCAGUGGGGAAUCUUGCGCAAUGGGCGAAAGCCUGACGCAGCCAUGCCGCGUGAAUGAUGAAGGUCUUAGGAUUGUAAAAUUCUUUCACCGGGGACGAUAAUGACGGUACCCGGAGAAGAAGCCCCGGCUAACUUCGUG
rnacentral:rRNA from 1 species